rnacentral:tRNA from 1 species
GCCGGAAUGGUCUAGUUGGUUAUGACGACUGCCUCACACGCAGUAGGUCCCGAGUUCGACUCUCGGUUUCAGUA